ACUCAUCACCCUGUGANAUACCUAAAACGUUGCUUCGGCGGGAACAGACGGCCCUGUAACAACGGGCCGCCCCCGCCAGAGGACCCCUAACUCUGUUUUUAUAAUGUUUUUCUGAGUAAACAAGCAAAUAAAUUAAAACUUUCAACAACGGAUCUCUUGGCUCUGGCAUCGAUGAAGAACGCAGCGAAAUGCGAUAAGUAAUGUGAAUUGCAGAAUUCAGUGAAUCAUCGAAUCUUUGAACGCACAUUGCGCCCGCCAGUAUUCUGGCGGGCAUGCCUGUUCGAGCGUCAUUACAACCCUCAGGCCCCCGGGCCUGGCGUUGGGGAUCGGCAGAAGCCCCCUGUGGGCACACGCCGUCCCUCAAAUACAGUGGCGGUCCCGCCGCAGCUUCCAUUGCGUAGUAGCUAACACCUCGCAACUGGAGAGCGGCGCGGCCAUGCCGUAAAACACCCAACUUCUGAAUGUUGACCUCGAAUCAGGUAGGAAUACCCGCUGAACUUAAGCAUAUCAAAAGCCGGAGGAA
rnacentral:rRNA from 1 species